rnacentral:tRNA from 1 species
AGGGUGUGUGGCGCAGCCACGCACGCGUUUUUCAUUUUUACUGAAAAUUUUAAAUGCCGCGUGCGUGCCGUUGGCACACACCCUACC